rnacentral:rRNA from 1 species
AGAGAGAGACAUGCGCGCAUAUCAAUAAGCGGAGGAAAAGAAACUAACUAGGAUUCCCUCAGUAACGGCGAGUGAAGCGGGAAGAGCUCAAAUUUGAAAUCUUCAAGGUUCUACCUUGACGAAUUGUAGUUUAAAGAAGUGUUUUCUGUUGGAGUUUUGGUAAAAGUUCUUUGGAAUAGGACAUCAUAGAGGGUGAGAAUCCCGUAUUUGACCAUUAUUUCAGCUUUGUGAUACACUUUCAAAGAGUCGGAUUGUUUGGGAAUGCAGUCCAAAAUGGGUGGUAAAUUUCAUCUAAAGCUAAAUAUUGGCGAGAGACCGAUAGCGAACAAGUACCGUGAGGGAAAGAUGAAAAGAACUUUGAAAAGAGAGUUAAACAGUACGUGAAAUUGUCAAAAGGGAAGCGUUUGACACCAGUGUUGUUUUCUCGAAAAUCAAUUAAAAAAGGCAGGAUUUUGUGUUGUAUUGACUUUAUCAGCUUUCUGCACUCUUUUCUUGUCUUUUUUAAUGCACUUUUCGUUUAACAAGUCAACAUCAAUUUCUUUUGUUGUAAAAGGGUCAUUGGAAGGUGGCUUUCUUUUCGGAGAAAGUGUUUAUAGCCUUUGGCCUCUGCAAUCGGAGAGAUUGAGGUCUGCAGCGUAGAUCCUUCGGGGUUAGAUACAUUUGUGCUAAGUUAUAGCCUUUCAUAGACAACUUGUUGACUAUGAUCAGUCAUGUAGCUUACUCGCUUAUGCUAUUUUACCUACGCUUAGGAUGUUGAUGUGAUACUGCGAGCA